GAUCAUGGCUCAGGAUGAACGCUAGCUACAGGCUUAACACGUGCAAGUCGAGGGGCAGCAUUUUAGUUUGCUUGCAAACUAAAGAUGGCGACCGGCGCACGGGUGAGUAACACGUAUCCAACCUGCCGAUAACUCGGGGAUAGCCUUUCGAAAGAAAGAUUAAUAUCCGAUGGUAUAUUAAAACCGCAUGGUUUUACUAUUAAAGAAUUUCGGUUAUCGAUGGGGAUGCGUUCCAUUAGUUUGUUGGCGGGGUAACGGCCC
rnacentral:rRNA from 1 species